rnacentral:rRNA from 1 species
UACGAAGGGUGCAAACGUUGCUCGGAAUCAUUGGGCGUAAAGCACACGUAGGCGGCUUCAAAAGUCGGAUGUGAAAUCCCUCGGCUCAACCGAGGACGUGCAUCCGAAACUGGGAGGCUUGAGUACUGAAGAGGAUCGCGGAAUUCCCGGUGUAGAGGUGAAAUUCGUAGAUAUCGGGAGGAACACCAGUGGCGAAGGCGGCGAUCUGGGCAGAUACUGACGCUGAGGUGCGAAAGCGUGGGGAGCAAACAGG